rnacentral:hammerhead_ribozyme from 1 species
AUUCAUCAGACGAGUGCAAAAUAGGAUGGAACGCGCGUCCUGGAU